GACGAACGCUGGCGGCGUGCCUAAUACAUGCAAGUUGAGCGCUGAAGGUUGGUACUUGUACCAACUGGAUGAGCAGCGAACGGGUGAGUAACGCGUGGGGAAUCUGCCUUUGAGCGGGGGACAACAUUUGGAAACGAAUGCUAAUACCGCAUAAAAACUUUAAACACAAGUUUUAAGUUUGAAAGAUGCAAUUGCAUCACUCAAAGAUGAUCCCGCGUUGUAUUAGCUAGUUGGUGAGGUAAAGGCUCACCAAGGCGAUGAUACAUAGCCGACCUGAGAGGGUGAUCGGCCACAUUGGGACUGAGACACGGCCCAAACUCCUACGGGAGGCAGCAGUAGGGAAUCUUCGGCAAUGGACGAAAGUCUGACCGAGCAACGCCGCGUGAGUGAAGAAGGUUUUCGGAUCGUAAAACUCUGUUGGUAGAGAAGAACGUUGGUGAGAGUGGAAAGCUCAUCAAGUGACGGUAACUACCCAGAGAGGGACGGCUAACUAC
rnacentral:rRNA from 1 species